GUUCGUUCGUUCGUUCGUUCGUUCGUUCGUUCGUUCGUUCGUUCGUUCGUUCGUUCGUUCGUUCGUUCGUUCGUUCGUUCGUUCGUUCGUUCGUUGCUCACCUAUUCGCGUACGAUCGUUUAUCACUCGACGUACUAGAGCGCUCGAAGGAUAGUACGUAGUAAGGAAUAAGAGCGAUGCCGCGUGUCACGCGAUUCUCUCGUCGCAGGGCCGUCAACUUCUCUCAACGUUUAGCCGAUCGGCAACUAACUGGCACGGAAUCAACGAGACGGGUUCGAGUUAUAUGAAGCGAGAUGAGACGACGCAGGAUAAGGCACGAAGACGUUCGAGCUUCAAAGUAUCCAUGAAGGACCUGUGCUCAUGUCCGGUAGUUCAACGACCCUAGCAUCUCAAGGCCGAACCAUACACUCAUCUGAAUACGACGGACCACGAUGAAUCCUUCGCAAAAAACCAGUUCGCCCAACUCGAAGGAAGCUUAUCAACGCGUUUUACCGUGUUACAGUAUAAACAAAAUUUAUAGUCAUAAUUUGUUGCUUAUUUCUGUGCGUUCGAGACUGUCAUAAGGUAGAAUACUGAUAGAAAGAGAAAGUGGAUUUAAAAAGAAAAAAAAAAAAACAAAAAAAAAGACAAACAAGAAAUAUGUCGAGUAAAAUAACUUCUCCGUCCACCGGUUUGCUCUCUUCGAAAUUCUUUCCAAACAUUCUCCGAACACCAUCACUAGAAACGCCCAUGCGACUAGACUCGCUGCAUGCUAUAGUUCGUAAGGAGGAAGUAACAAAUCGAUUCGUACGCGUAACAGGUGACUCACGAUCUCUUGGAAAAGAGAAAGAAGUAAAACGAGAAAUCAACAAUAAGCGUAUCGAUAAGAGCUAUCAUAGUGUCUUGUGCACUGUAUGCUGCGACCGUUGAAGCGUAACAAUGAAAUGACGACGACUAGUCACUUUCCAUGAACCCAACAAACGAAUUUAUCGAGUCUUUCGAUAUAUUGGUAAGACGAAAAAUUAUGACUAUCGAUAUAAAGCUUAAAUUCCGCAACGUGGCGAAGCGUGUAAGAAAAAAAUGGAUAUUCUCCAUCUCUCUCUCUCUCUCUCUCUCUCUCUCUCUCUCUCUCUCUUUCUCUUUCUCUUCAAUUCCAUCUUUAUGUCGAUCGUUACGAAACAUUGUCUCUCGUUUACCGCUUUUCUAAAUAAAAAAGAAAAAGAAAAAAAAAAGAAAUAAAAACAAAAAAUAAAAUAAAAAUAAAAAAGUAAGAAAUCUGAGAUAGUAAAAUAAUAAAUAAUAUGAUUUGACAGAGGAUAAUAAAAAUGAAAGUGUCUCAACCAUGAUCCAAGGACCUGUAAACGAGUAUAAACUAGUCUACGUGCACAAGCCGUUAACUCCAAUUGUACGAUGACAAGAUAUAGCUACUUGUCUCGGACCGAAAAUCCUAAAAUCCAUCUCGAUGUUCGAUUAUGAAUCCGUAUAAUGUAUAUUGUCUCGAAAAGUUGUUGCUUGUCUUGAUAAGAACGCUCGUAUAAAGAAAGAUAAUUUCUUGUAUAUCGUAAAUGCCACCUCAAGAAAAAUCGUCGGUGUUUGUUCUCAACGACGACGAUUACAACGACUACAACGUUUACGAUGACUACGACGACUACGACGACGACGACGACGACGACGACGACGACGACUAGGACGACGACGAUGACGUUGAAGACGACGAAGCAGGUAAGUAAGCCAUAGAAAAUAAAUAUCGUGGUCGAAUAAUGUACAACUGUAAUGUGUACCUACGCUACACGUGUAAAUGUAAAUAAGUUUUGUAAGAGUAAGAAAGAGAAGGAGGGUAAGUCGUAUGUGCAAGAAAAUUCUCUCGCUCUUACUCUUUUUAUCCAUCUCUUUCUUUCUUUCUUUCUUUCUUUUCCGUGAUGAUGCAAAAGAAAAGAAAAAGAAAAAGAAAAAAGAAAAACAAAGAAAAAAGAGAAGGAACGCAAGCAACACGAAACGAACGUCGAUAAAUUAUAUGGUCAUGGGUUAUCGAACGUACAGAGAUUAUGCAGAUGGACGGUUCGAUAAGAAGAGAAGUUCUCCCUUUCUUUCUUUUUUCAUUGUCUCUCUUUAUUCGAAACUUCCUUUUUUCUUCCUUUUUUAAUUAUUUUUCAUUUUUUACAAGUAAAAAGAGACGGAGAGAGAGAGAGAGAGAGAGAGAAAGAGAGAAGGUAUAAGGAGACUACGUAUACUUCUUUUGAUGAUUAUUAUCGUAGGCUACGUCAUGUAUCACGUCAUAGUACACGCUGGAAUAUAUUCGUUGGAAAGAGAUCGUGAAAGGCUUCCUUAGAAAAUUUUUUUUCUUUCUCUCGUCGACGUAGAGGACUCGUCCUUGUAUCAGUCGGUGCUUCUUCGUCCUCCUCGUCAUUGUCGUCAUCGUCAUCGUCUUCGUCGUCGUCGUCGUCGUCGUCGUCGUCGUUGUCGUCGUCGUCGUCGUCGUCGUCGUCGUCGUCGUCGUCGUCGUAGCUCUACGAACAUUAUCGACGUCGUGGAAUAAAAGCAGAAGGAAGAGUAGCAGUAGUAGGAAAAGUAGUGGUAGUAGUGGUAGUAGUAAUAGUAGUAGUAGUAAUAAUAAUAGAUAGUAAUAAUAGUAGUAGUAGUAGUAGUAAAAUAAGAAAAAGAAGAGAGGACUCGCGGGCUAUUUGCUACUCGCCGCCGAGAGAAAGCUUCAUAAAUUUUACGAAGGAACGACGUAUUCCCUCGUGCAAAAGGCCUUAUGUCAUCUGGUCUUUCUUUGGAUUGUGUGGGAGGACGUGCUCGCGCGCGCGAGUUGGAUGCCUCUGGAAAGUAAGAGUCAAGAGAAAUCCCAAGGUAGAUAUCCAGAGAAACAGAGAGAGAGAGAGAGAGAGAGAGAGAGAGAGAGAGAGAGAGAGAGAGAGAGAGAGAGAGAGAGAAAGAGAGAAAGAGAGAAAGAGAGAGAGAGAGAAGCAGAGAAAGAGAGACUCUCGCGAUGUGCCGGACCGGUCCUUCGCGUUUCUUCCUUUCGUUCUUCUCUCAUCCUCCCUUGUUCUUUCCUUUUGUCGUGUACUACUAGGACGCACGACGAAUGGAAAUCCAACGGUGACGGGUGAAAGGAUCGAGCUUUGUUUACGGAAAUAUUCUUUACUUAUUACAAAGACGAUGCGUUCUCACGAUGCACCUCUUCUCUUUUCUCGAUGGAAGACCGAAGACGAAAUUUACGAAUAUACCGAUCCACGUUACUUUUAAACUCCCGAAUGAUUCCUUAGAAAACAUAAGAAAAUAUAUAUGCUCGCUCGAGUUAUUAAUAGUAUCAAUGUUUUUCUAUUAUCAUCCAAGAUUAUAGAUUAGAAAACGAUAUUUUUACCGCGAAAUUUUAUGUUUAUUACAUUCGAUAAAGUUAACGCAUUUCAAUUUGUCCUUCGUUACUUUUCAUCAA